rnacentral:rRNA from 1 species
AGACGUCUACAUUAGAUACCCCUGUAGUCCCAGCCGUAAACUAUGCGCGUUAGGUGUAUCGGUGACCACGAGUCACCGAGGUGCCGAAGGGAAACCGUGAAACGUGCCGCCUGGGAAGUACGGUCGCAAGGCUGAAACUUAAAGGAAUUGGCGGGGGAGUACCACAACGGGUGGAGCCUGCGGUUUAAUUGGACUCAACGCCGGGAAGCUCACCGGAUAAGACAGCGGAAUGAUUGCCGGGCUGAAGACUCUGCAUGACUAGCUG